rnacentral:rRNA from 1 species
CAGUCGCCACGGUAAUACGUAGGUGGCAAGCGUUGUCCGGAAUUAUUGGGCGUAAGGGGCUCGCAGGCGGUUUCUUAAGUCUGAUGUGAAAGCCCCCGGCUCAACCGGGGAGGGUCAUUGGAAACUGGGAAACUUGAGUGCAGAAGAGGAGAGUGGAAUUCCACGUGUAGCGGUGAAAUGCGUAGAGAUGUGGAGGAACACCAGUGGCGAAGGCGACUCUCUGGUCUGUAACUGACGCUGAGGAGCGAAAGCGUGGGGAGCGAACAGGAUUAGAUACCCGAGUAGUCCCUGUCUCUUAUAC